rnacentral:lncRNA from 1 species
UUGAAUAAAAAUAAAAAUAAAAAAGCAUUUGUAGCUUAGAUUCAGAAGUCUAUGUCAUAUACUUGAAUGAAGAGAAGCACGAUGGCUUAGAUUCAGAGGUUCAUGAUGAACUUGAAUGGAAGAAGCACUUGGCUUAACAAAAACAAAAAUAAAAGAAAACGAGUUUGACUGUUAGAUCAAAACUCGGGAGCAACCUGCUCUGAUACCAUGUUGAAGGUUGAUGAGAGAAGAACAAACUAGUGAUUAGGAAAUAUUAUAUUGACUCUCAUGAAGAUUACAAUAAUAGUUACAUAUGUUUAUAUAGGGAGGAGAUGCUAAACCUAAAUGAUAUAGUUUCCUAAUAUACAUAAAU